GGGACGAACGCUGGCGGCGUGCUUAACACAUGCAAGUCGAGCGGAAAGGCCCUUCGGGGUACUCGAGCGGCGAACGGGUGAGUAACACGUGAGUAAUCUGCCCCUAGCUCUGGGAUAGCUCCGGGAAACCGGGAUUAAUACCGGACAUGACUCCUUUCGACAUCUGAAGGAGUGGAAAGAUUUAUCGGCUAGGGAUGAGCUCGCGGCCUAUCAGCUUGUUGGUGGAGUAACGGCCCACCAAGGCGACGACGGGUA
rnacentral:rRNA from 1 species